rnacentral:rRNA from 1 species
AUGCAACGGAACGCCACACCCUGCCGAGCACCAUGCCGGCAAGGAAUGGGGUGCAGUGCCAAAGACCGCCAACCACCAUGGUUGUCGGCCGCAGCCAAGCAACAGACGCACGACACACGCACCACACGCGCCGCCGCGGCCGCCGGAGACCAGAUUGACCAAACCCGCACCUUGAAUCAGCUCCUCCGAGUCGCCACGGGCCCUGAGCCGCGCCGACAACGCAACCCAGGCCUCUCCGCACCCGUAGCGAGCUCCACACCAGAACGGCAGGAGCACCACCCUGGCACCCACGCGACGCCAGAUCCGUGCGGCACCCGCAGCCACAGCGCCCCUCAUGGCCGAAUCGCGGCCCGCGCCAAGCCUGCGCGCUCGCACGCCUCGCCACCCCUUCAGCCGUUGGGACCCCUGCCCGCACAGCCUCGCCGCACGGACGCCGCCGUGCACGCCCACUCGCGCCAGAUCCACGCCUCACCGCCCUCCUGCAAGCGCGCUGCCUGCAGCCGCCGCGAGCCCGCCCUUGUGCCGCCCUCCUCCGCGCCUGCAAGCACCAGAACCAUGCCCGCGCGGAGCGCCUGCUCGCCAGAUCCUCCGGCGAGACCCCCCGAGAGAUGCCCCGCCGCCACCUUCCCUGGAGCCUGCCCGGGCUUCGCCGAAGAGCUCCUCAGGCGGCGACGAGGUUAG